CAAUAGGCCUGAGGGGAUUAUUCCCAAAAAAUUUCCUAUUAUUCUAUUCCCAAAUUCUUAAUUUUUUUGUAAUUAUUCUUCUGUAUUUAUGGCUAUUAUUCUCAAAUUAUUCAUGUAACAUAAGAUAAGCCUGUGUAUAGUCCAAGAGAGAGGCUUGGAGAGAGGUGUCUUGUUAAUUACCAAUAUGGCUGUAAAAGCAUGAUUUUUUGGCUACAUGAGACCAAGCUGGCAGUCCUUCUGAAUUGCAAUUCCACCAUUCAACACAUGGAGUAUAUCAAAACACAUGGAGUAGCCAUUUUUAUUCCCGUUCACUACCGUUUAUUCUUAAUUUAUGCUAGUAUUCUCAAGGAACCUAUUAUUCCUAAAAUUAUUCCAGCAUAAUCCCCGCACCCCUAGUGCCCAACCAACUCUCACAGCUUAGAUACGCCCCUGCCUGUGGGGGCAAGUGCCCUCAUAACUGCUUCUUGUGCCCCUGCAACUAGCCUGAACUAGGCAGGAGAAUGAAAGAUACAAGUUACAACUGACUCAACUGAGCUUACUAUAUUGAGUAUUCAUAAGCAUUGCUUUAUUCAGUGCCCCCACUGUGCCCUUUUUCUUCAUUUAUUCUAGCUACGCCACUGCAUGGUACGACUUUUGCGUACCUCUCAGGAGAAUAGACUACAUUCUAUUGCUAUGAAACUACAAUAAAGAGACCCUUUACAUGUUUUUACAUUGUUUAAAGUUGUUUUUUAAUUUUCCUGUUGCUGGUUUUUUAGUUAUAACAAUUUACAUUCA